GAGACAGUAGUUUUCAAGCCUUAUCCACUUGGUGGCCCAGGAGUUAUUCUGUGAUUUGUAGAAUACAGAAUCUGAAACUAAACACAGCAUGCUGAAGGAAAGGAGUGAUAUAGAUAUGGAGGGGGGUGCAAAAAUGGGCCCUCUCAUUUAAAUUUUAUUGAAAUAUACAUAAAAGUGCACAAUUCAUAAGUAUACUUGUUGGAUAAAGUUUUGCAAAGCCUCAUACAUCUAUGUAAACAGCGCCUAAAUCAAGAAACAGAAUGCUGCCAUAACAAAAACUUCUUAUUUAGGAAGGACCAUUACGACCUGUUCUUGAAUACAUUGAUCUGGUCAGCAGUGAUGAUGAAGAGCCUAGCACCUCUUAUACUGAUAGAAUGCCUGAAUCUAAGGUGCCAUCCUCUGAGAAUCAUCGCCCAGAAAUGUGCUCUAGCUGCAAUGUUCCUCUUCCCAUUGGAGAUAGCAGCUCCUUCUCUGGGAGUUGUUCCAGCAGUCCAGAAAGGAUAGUUUCUCAAACUUCCUCUGUUGAGAACCCAUUGGAGAACCAGAAAAAUGAUCAAA
rnacentral:lncRNA from 10 species